rnacentral:rRNA from 1 species
GAUGAACGCUGGCGGCGUGCUUAACACAUGCAAGUCGAACGAUGAUCCCCGCUUGCGGGGGGAUUAGUGGCGAACGGGUGAGUAACACGUGAGUAACCUGCCCUUGACUCUGGGAUAAGCCUGGGAAACCGGGUCUAAUACCGGAUAUGACUCCCCGCCGCAUGGCGGGGGUGAAAGCUUUAUUGCGGUUUUGGAUGGACUCGCGGCCUAUCAGCUUGUUGGUGAGGUAAUGGCUCACCAAGGCGACGACGGGUAGCCGGCCUGAGAGGGUGACCGGCCACACUGGGACUGAGACACGGCCCAGACUCCUACGGGAGGCAGCAGUGGGGAAUAUUGCACAAUGGGCGCAAGCCUGAUGCAGCGACGCCGCGUGAGGGAUGACGGCC